rnacentral:rRNA from 1 species
AUUGAACGCUGGCGGCAUGCCUUACACAUGCAAGCCGAACGGCAGCACGGGUGCUUGCACCUGGUGGCGAGUGGCGAACGGGUGAGUAAUACAUCGGAACGUACCUUAUCGUGGGGGAUAAAGCAGCGAAAGCUGUGCUAAUACCGCAUACGCCCUGAGGGGGAAAGCGGGGGAUCGAAAGACCUCGCGCGAUUAGAGCGGCCGAUGCCUGAUUAGCUUGUUGGUGGGGUAAAAGCCCACCAAGGCGACGAUCAGUAGCUGGUCUGAGAGGACGAUCAGCCACACUGGGACUGAGACACGGCCCAGACUCCUACGGGAGGCAGCAGUGGGGAAUUUUGGACAAUGGGGCAACCCUGAUCCAGCAAUGCCGCGUGAGUGAAGAAGGCCUUCGGGUUGUAAAGCUCUUUUGUCAGGGAAGAAACACCGGCUCUAACACAGUCCGGGAAUGACGGUACCUGAAGAAUAAGCACCGGCUAACUACGUGCCAGCAGCCGCGGUAA